AAUUAAUGAUAUAUUAUUUAAAAUAAAAAAAAAUUGAGAUAUAAAUUAUUAUCCUUUUUCUAUUCUUCAAAAGCAAGGAACAUACAUACAACUUUUUGUUUUUUUCCGGCAAGGUUAACAAAUAUAACUUAAUAAUUAAGGCUAGUGUCGCAACGCAUUGUCACAUGAUUAAUAUGUGGCACAGUAAUUGUCAUGACCAAGAUCACAAGAUCUGGGGCUUUAGUGCUGUAAAAACUUAAACAAGUUGUGCAAGUCACAAAUCGGCAUUUUAAGUCAAAAAACUUAGAGCCACUCCCUCACAAAUAUGAGGGAAGUGGUUCGAGUCUCCGCAGAUGUAUUGCAGGAGUUUAAUUUAAAUUAUUUUUUUUUGAGUCGUAAAGUUUGAGUGAAGGCAGUCUUUCUCAUAGGAUAAGAGUUGACGUUCCUUAAAUAUUUGAGAGGGUUAAAAAUCUGAACGGUGCCAUAUCAGAAUUGAUGUAAAUUGGUCUCAGUACUUAUAUCAUUAUAAAUAUCAUGAGUAAUAAUUCUCAUUCAAAAAAAAAAAGUCAAACAACUUAAUUCGCAUGUGAAUUAACGAAUAUUCGUUGCAUUUAGAGUAUCUAAGACUAUGACGUUUCUAUUUUAAUAUAAUGUCAUUGAAAAAAGGCACAAAAAAAAAUGGUAAUUUUGAUGUAUGCAAAAUAACUUAUGGAGAGGCAUAUUUCUCUCUUAAUAGUAAGAGGGCUACAUCAGCUUAUCAAAUUAAGCCUCUAAUAAAACUCCACGUCUAUAGCAGAAUUACUCGCUCUUCAUCUUCAUGGAUCAAUCGACACAUUUGCUCAACAAAAUUAAGUUUUUGAAUCUAGAAAAAGCCUAAGGGAAAAGGAUUAAGUUUUUAAAUUCCAUAAACACAAAAUUUCUUCUGAGAAAAUAUGUCUAACAUACAACAAGCAGUCAAUACAAUCGAAGCUCAAGCCCAAGCACAAUUAACUCAGGCAAGACAAAUUAUCUUUUUAUUUAGCUACAUGCCUACCAGGACUUAUAUUUUGAUGUUUAAGCUUAUUUCGAGUGAAAUUUAUUAUUGUUUAAGGGAAAAAGACAUAGUAAGGGCAAGAAUCUUAGAAUCUUAGACCUCAAAUGAGUAAACUACGGGGCUAACCAUGUAAAUCAUAUGCUUUUAACAAGCCUAAAUUUAAUUCAUUCUAUUGAACUAUGUUGGUGCUAUUGGUUUGUGUUUUGGGCAGGAAAAGAUCGAAGAGUGGGUACAGUCUGUGCAGCAUGAUGCAGAUACAGCUCGGACCAAGACUGCAAACGCAGCUAAUGAUCCUGCCCAACCACAGGUCUUAUUUAUUCUUAUUUAUCUAUUUAUUUUUUUAAAAAUACCAAUUGAAAUCUGAAAUGCCAAUAAACAGAUUUUUUUUUUAACAACUCAUUGUGUGAGACUACAACUGAUAUUUAUGAUUAUCUUUAAUAUUUGAAAAAUAUUUAUUCCACUCAUAUUUCGAAAAAGAGAAAGUCACAUUCACUUAAUUAUAUACCAUAAUUAAGAAAGAAAAUAAGUCGUUACAUAUGAGUAGAGGCUUGAACUGCUGCCGUUUGGCCACUCAACUUCUUUAUUUUUUGAGAGAGCAAUUGAUUUGUUAUCUCUAAUUUUUGUUUCUUGAUUUAGUAAGAAAUUACUUUUCAAAAUCACCUACCAAUUGAAAUUUUUGGGUUAGUAAUUAUUAGAGUUAAUUUUAAUUAAAUGAAAAUACUGAAGUGCAAACGUCCGUAAUGCCCCUUCUUACAAUGCUGUAACAGUGCACAUCCACACAGAAAUUUACGUGUACACCUACAACGGAGCAUAACUCUUUGAUUUAAUAAUUAAAAAUUUAUGUAAUAAUAUUUAAUCCCGAAUAUUUGGGAUUUUACAGAUCGGAGAGAAAGUGCCCUUCAUUGUAGAGGAUGAUGCGGAUUGCGGAAAUAACACAUCCAGAAAAGGUGAAUGCGACAAGUUAAGUGGAUUGAAGUAAAUUGUUGUCUUAACUAAUUUAUGACAAAAUUAAUUUAGGAUUUUUCAUUCUUUUUAAUAAUGCUUUUUGCUAUUUAUGGAUAAGUGAGCUUUCCCGUUUGAGAUUUUCUCAUUAAGAAUAACUCACAUCAGAUGUAAUAAACCCUUUUAUUUAUUUACUUUCUCAUAUAUAUUUUCUUUUAGUUAAAUUUCUUCCUAGUUUGUUUACUUCCUUGUUGCAGUAAUAAGGUAAUAAAAUAUUAUUUUUAAUGCAGUUUAAAAAAUUAUUUUUAUUAUUAAUGCAAGUGAUGGCAAUGAGCUCUUUUAUUAGUCUCUCUCGGUAUCACAAAUUUUAAGUAUGAGUCAUGGGACCAUGAUCCGAUGCUCAGCUGAUCUUGUGCUGAGCACCGGAUCAAUAGUCAGCAAUUAUUUAAAACUCACAUGAGGUAAUUGUUGACCAUUGAUCCGGUGCUCAGCACAAGCUCAGCUGAGCACCGGAUCUGUUUCCAUGAGCCAUGAAGCUUUUGAAAUUUGAAAUGGUUUCCCUCAACUACUUAUACGAAUUUAAAUUAUCACCUCUACCGUCCAAAUUUACGUACAUAUUUGAAAAUGACAUAUUGGACUUGUUAUAAAUUUUAGAUGAAGUGAUGAACCAUAUAAAAUUAGGGUCUGAUUACGGUACAACAGUAAUAUUAUGUCACCAUUACAUCCAAUCAUUUAAUUUAUUUAGAUGGAUAAAUUUAUUAGAAUCAAACGAUUGAUUGUAAUAAUAGUACGAUACAUCGUUAUACUAUAAUUUUCUCCAUAAAAUUAUACGAUUUAGACCCCUAUUUGAAGGUAUUAUAAGUUUUUUUUUUCUUUUGGCCACCCACGUGUCACAAAACGCUAUUAUGUGCUCAUAGUAGCAUUGAUCAACUUUUCAUUAAUAAAACAACAAAAAGGAAUGAUGAUUUACGGGGGUUGUGAUGAUAACUUUUCCACGUAUCCUCAUGUAAAGAUAAGCUUAAAAGAAUUCAUAUCAAGAGAGAUUGAAAAUUCAUUCAUAUUUAUUUUUUAGAAUUUUAAUGCCAUAAGAAUUUUGUGUGGUUCAAAAAGUUCGGCUUAAAGUUGAUCGACAUUAAUGUAUAUUAAUAAUUACGCAAAAAAAAAAAAACAGAAUGUUGUCAUUUUUUAAGAGUGUGGCAAAUAAUGAGCAACUAUUUAUGUCAUUUUGAUAUAAUGCGGAAGGUUCUAACAUGAUAAUCUAAUUAUAAAAAUAAAAUUAAAUACAAAAUAAUUGUUAGAAGUUGGAGGAGUAAAUUACCAAUGCAAAUCAUGGGUUUAAAUGUAAUUAAAAUUUUUAAGGUACAUAAUGUCCAAUAAAAGUAAUUGCCAAUGGAAUAAAAGUGAAAGCAAGUACUAUCAUUGGUUGGAGCAGGCUUAGUUACAGAUUCUGUAACUUACUGAUUGUGCUUAACCAGCUACCAGACAAAAGCAUUUGCACCCUUUUUUUCUCCAUAAGCAGGACACCUGUGGUGCAUGCAUUGGUGCUGUAUGUUACAGAAUCUGUAACGUAGUAAGCUCCUCAUUGGUUACACAAGUUAAAUGAGUUAAUGCAUGGCCUAUUUAGCAAAUUACUAUUAGUCUUUUUAUUUUGCUAACUCCACUUAUUUUGCAAACUCUUUGAGUAAGUUGCCCAUCAUAUUUAUUUUUAUCUCAGUUAGUUUAGAUAAGUUUGAUUUCAGUUUUAAAAUCUAAUAUGCUCCAUACGGUCUAGUUCUAGGUUACAACUUUGAACUUAACAAUGAAGCAAAAAUUAUUGAUAUCAUCAUAAUUCUUAAACUAUUCUUUCUAAUAUUUAAAAAUAAAUUUUAAUAUCAAUAAUGUCCUAACAGUUCCGAUAUUUACACAAAAGUGUGCACAAAAGCCUCUUCGUACGUGCAUCAAACAACACACAAGCACGCAAACUCCCUUCUCCCCGCACCAAAUCCAGCAAAAUAAUGCAGCUCCUCUCUCUCCUGUCAAUCUGAUCAGGCGUCUCCAAUAGGGGAUGGUAAUGGGCACCGCCCGCAGCAGGAUUGCCAUUACCAAACCCAAACCCGCACAAAAUUUAAAUUAUCAAACCCACCCGCAACCCGCAGCAGGUUUUAAUUUUUUUAAGAAAAUCCACCCGCAGCGGAUUUUAAUAAUUACUAAACUCGCAAUGAUA
rnacentral:lncRNA from 1 species